rnacentral:lncRNA from 1 species
ACGAGCAGGUUACAAACACCGGGGGAAACCAGCGGUGAGAUCCCCGCCUCCCCGGGGCCCGGCUGUGUAGGCCCAGGCAGGGGGUGCUGCUGGCUCCGCCCGCACUUCCUCAGCCGCCCUCACGAGGGCUGCCGGGCCCUGGCGGCUCCCUCGGCAGACUCGAGGGGCCUCGGGACAAGAAAAAAGCCUCAAAAGAACAAAAAGCCAUGCCCGCCACCAUCCUCUGCUCCGUUGGGGCACGCCACUGCCCCGGAGCAGGUCAGUGCCACUUCAUGCUUGGUGUGGAUCCCAUUACCGGAGGGUGUCAUUACAGGUGGAAUUUCAUAUGACUCAAUCUGUGCACAUUAUUUCUUGUCCUGUCAUGUGGCAGUCUAUCCAGGGACUUAUCAGGCUGAAAAUAGGGGAUGAAGAUGCUGUCUUCAUGGUAAAAAGACCACAAGGGGACUCUACAAAAAGACAGUGCCUUUUCAAGACAUGAGGGGACCCUCCCCACUGUAUCUUUGAAGACAACGGAUCAACAGGACACUGCUGGAUCCAUGGUGGUGACUAUCUCUUGCAAUCUCUAAGACACCUUUGCUUAUAUGUCUGUACCUUUUCUAUCACUGCUUCUUUCUUAACUCUCGUUUCUCUUUUGAUAUUUUUAUACAGACGUAAUAAACCAUUGGACAACAUCUGACCUCGUUUGUGU